GCCCGGAUGGUGGAAUUGGUAGACACAAGGGACUUAAAAUCCCUCGGCCUUGCGGCCUUGCCGGUUCGACCCCGGCUCCGGGCA
rnacentral:tRNA from 1 species